rnacentral:rRNA from 1 species
UACGAAGGGUGCUAGCGUUGUUCGGAAUCACUGGGCGUAAAGCGCGCGCAGGCGGCUAUUCAAGUCAGGGGUGAAAUCCUUGGGCUUAACCCAAGAAUUGCCUUUGAAACUGUAUAGCUGGAGUGUCGGAGGGGAUAGCGGAAUUCCUAAUGUAGCGGUGAAAUGCGUAGAUAUUAGGAGGAACACCGGUGGCGAAGGCGGCUAUCUGGACGACAACUGACGCUGAGGCGCGAAAGCGUGGGGAUCAAACAGG